UUCAUAACUAUUACCCGUUAUUCGUUCUGCAUCUCUUCAAUGAUCCUGAUAUUUGCAUGUCUCAGUAAUCGAUGCCACACAUUUUUCUUCAUUAAUUCGUGUGCUGCAUCGUAUAUAUUUCCUGAUUCCACAUAAUAUGCAUUUCCUCUUCUCACUGCUUCUAAUAAAACUUCUCCAUUUCCUUUAUAUACUUCAGCUUCAUCUUUCUGAAGCCUAACAUAUUAGUUGUGGACAUCGACUUUGUCGACUCACAUCAAUAUUUAUUCAGAUCAGGGACACAACAUGCCUUUGAAUAUCACUGUAUUCUCUAUAUCUUGUUGUUAUAAGAGAACAUCACCUAGAGGAAUAAUAUUCCUUUGUUCUCUGUCAAACCCGUCUUCCUUUCUCAGUCUUUAUUUUACCACUGAAUAUUUUUGUCACUCGUGUCAUAUGGCUAAUCGCCCUAGAAUCCAAUGGACAUAUCAUACGUUACGUAUUUGUAUUAUUGCUUCUAGGUUCUCUGGCCAAAAAAAUAAUUCUUGGCACGUAUUUUCAACUUCUUGACAAAUUGAUUUCCUUCACUCUCCAAUCGUCAGCAGCAGUUGAAACGUACCUUUUACCUCCAUUUGGACAUUGGGUUUAUUGGCCCAAUCAAGUCCAUGUGUCAGCCCCAUUAUUCUUGCUACUUUUAUAGUUUCCAAGUUUCUAUUCAUAUUUCUAUAGGUUUUUGCCUUAAUGCAACAUUUAUACUCUAUAUUCAACUUUACCUUUCAUAACUAUUACCAAUUAGUCGUACUCUAUAUCUUCAAUGAUCCUAAUAUUUGCAUGACUCAGUCAUCGAUGCCACACAUCUUUCAUUGUCAAUCCGUGUGCUGCAUCGUAUGUUUCCUGAUUCUACAAUAGUCGUGGUCAUCGACUUUGUCCACUGAUAUCAAUAUUUAUUCAGAUCAGGGACACAACAUGCCUUUGAAUCUCACUGUAUUCUCUAUAUCUUGUUGUUAUAAGAGAACAUCACCUAGAGGAACAUUAUUUCUUUCUUCCCUGUCAAACCCGUCUUCCUUUCUCAGUCUUUAUUUUACCACUGAAUAUUUUUGUCACUCGUGUCAUAUGGCUAAUCGCCCUAGAAUCCAAUGGACAUAUCAUACGUUACGUAUUUGUAUUAUUGCUUCUAGGUUCUCUGGCCAAAAAAAUAAUUCUUGGCAUGUACUAAUUUUACGCCAGUGAUAUUCUACGAGUCCAAUAUUUUUCUCCUACUGCCCGCGUCUGUUUAUUACAACAGAAUAUUGUAUUUUCACAACCAAGCUCUGCUAUUACUAAUGGAAGAUGGAGAAAUAAUGGCUUAUAUCGUACACGAUGUAUUUACAUCUGAAGGUUAUGUUAAUACAAAGACUUACAUUCUUUUGUGUGAUAUUUUAUAUGUCCAAUAUUUUUCUCCUUCUACACGUGUCUGUUUAUUACAACAGAAUAUUGUCUUUUUACAACCAAGCUCUGCUAUCACUAAUGAUAAAUGGAGAAAUAAUGGCUUAUAUCGUACACUAUGUAUUUGCAACUGAAGGUUAUGUUAAUACAAAUACUUACAUUCUUUCGUGAGAUAUUCUACAAGUCCAAUAUUUUUCCCCUCCUGCUCGUGUCUGUUUAUUACAACAGAAUAUUGUCUUUUCACAACCAAGCUCUGCUAUCACUGAUGAAGGAUGGAGAAAUAAUGGCCUAUAUCGUACAUUCUAUGUAUUUACAACUGAUGGUUAUGUUAAUACAAAUACUUACAUUCAUUCGUGAGAUAUUCUACAAGUCCAAUAUAUUUCCCCUACUGCACGUGUCUGUUUAUUACAACAGAAUAUUGUCUUUUCACAACCAAGCUCUGCUAUCACUGAUGAAGGAUGGAGAAAUAAUGGCCUAUAUCGUACAUUCUAUGUAUUUACAACUGAAGGUUAUGUUAAUACAAAUACUUACAUUCAUUCGUGAGAUAUUCUACAAGUCCAAUAUAUUUCCCCUACUGCACGUGUCUGUUUAUUACAACAGAAUAUUGUCUUUUCACAACCAAGCUCUGCUAUCACUGAUGAAGGAUGGAGAAAUAAUGGCCUAUAUCGUACAUUCUAUGUAUUUACAACUGAAGGUUAUGUUAAUACAAAUACUUACAUUCAUUCGUGAGAUAUUCUACAAGUCCAAUAUAUUUCCCCUACUGCACGUGUCUGUUUAUUACAACAGAAUAUUGUCUUUUCACAACCAAGCUCUGCUAUCACUGAUGAAGGAUGGAGAAAUAAUGGCCUAUAUCGUACAUUCUAUGUAUUUACAACUGAAGGUUAUGUUAAUACAAAUACUUACAUUCAUUCGUGAGAUAUUCUACAAGUCCAAUAUAUUUCCCCUACUGCACGUGUCUGUUAAUUAAAACAGAAUAUUGUCUUUUCACAACCUUGCUCCGCUAUUACUAAUGAAAGGUGGAAAAAUAAUCGCUUAUAUCGUACACUAUGUAUUUACAACCGAAGGUUAUGUUAAUACAAAUACUUACAUUCUUUCGUGUGAUGGUCUACAAGUCCAAUAUUUUUCUCCUCCUACACGUGUCUGUUUAUUACAACAUAAUAUUGUCUUUUUACAACCAAGUUCUGCUAUCACUAAUGGAAGAUGGAGAAAUAAUGGCCUAUAUCUUACACUAUAUAUUUACAACUAAAGGUUAUGUUAAUACAAAUACUUACAUUCUUUCGUGUGAUAUUCUGCAGGUCCAAUAUUUUUCCCCUACUACACGUGUCUGUUUAUUGCAACAAAAUAUUCUCUUUUCACAACCUGACUGCGCUAUCACUAAAGAAAGGUGGAAAAAUAAUGGGCUAUAUCGUACACUAUGUAUUUACAACUGAUGGUUAUGUUAAUACAAAUACUUACAUUCUUUCGUGUGAUAUUCUGCAGGUCCAAUAUUUUUCCCCUACUACACUUGUCUGUUUAUUGCAACAAAAUAUUCUCUUUUCACAACCUGACUGCGCUAUCACUAAUGAAAGGUACAAUAUUUUUCCCCUGCUGCACGUGUCUCUUUAUUUCAACAGAAUAUUGUCUUUUUACAACCAAGCUCUGCUAUCACUAAUGAAAGAUGGAGAAAUGGUGGCUUAUAUCUUAUAUUAUAUAUUUACAACUGAAGGUUAUGUUAAUACAAAUACUUACAUUCUUACGUGUGAUGCAGGCACACUUUUAUGGACACAGCAAUGCUUGUCGCGCCAUUUUGCAAUCUUUUUCUCAUUUCCUCCGCAUAUUUCUGGUCGCGCGGAGAAGAAUGAUCAAAUUACUCAAUUUUUGUGAUUAAUUUAUGAACUUUUAUAAUCGCAUGGUAAAAUUUCAAAAAUGUAAGCGAUAAAGUCAACAACGCACUACGUUCCAACAAGGGAUUACAUUUCCGCCACUAUAUUUCGCAAUUGAAUGGUGAAAAUGGAGAAAAAAUUAGCUCACUGAUUAGAGCAGAACCUAUUCUAUGCUAGUGAAUCGAAAUAUUCCAAUCAACAAGCGAAAUUUAGAAUAUAUUAGCGAUAAAAUGUAAGGAUGCUGCACGUUCUGACAAACUCUUGCACUUUUGUGAGUCUAUUUCGCAAUUGAACUGUCAAAAUCGAAGAAAAAUUGGGAAAACUAUUAAAAACGUGCCUAUUCCGAGCAAGGUUGAUCAAAUAUCCCAAUGGACAAUCGAAAUCUAGAAUCUACAGUCGAUGGUAUGUGAUUAUGCUCAUGUGUUAUACGAUUCGCACUCACACCGCUUUAUUUCGCACAUGUAUUGUUAUACGAUUUGCAUUAUGUAACAUCACUUCGUUCCACGCGUAUAUUACAAAUGUUGGUACCUAAAUAUCCUGAUCUCGGUACAAUUCUCUCAAUUUCUUAAACUUGUGUUGUGGUCCAUUCGUAAAUAUUACGGCAGUGUUGCAAACAUAACCUACAAUUGCAAUGUUACGAACUAAUAACCGAUACCGUGCAUUAUUGUUCUUGAAUAUUUCUUUCGUCGAUUGCAGUCAUUAAAACAUUAGUUUGUGAUAGUAUUACUUCACGAAACGUUUUAGGAGAUACUGAAUGUUUCACUUUUAUCACGGGGAUUAUUGUGACAAUAAGAAAAUAAAAUAGAAGAACGAA